CAAAAGUGAAAGUUAAGUACUGUGGUAUUCCCCUAUGGUGUUUACAGUAUAAUAUUGCACUGAAGCAUUCAUUUGCGAGCAAUUCAUUUUCACUCUACACUGCAUUCUUAACAUUCGGGUAUCUCAUUGCUCAAUUCUGUAUAAGAGAACUGGAGUCAUGAAGCUUAUAAAGUGUCCUGGUUGCCACCGUUUACGGAUGAAAAAGGUAGACGGUCAGCGCGUGGUCUGCAGGUCAUGUUCUAAAGCAAAGCGGCGCGUGUUUCAGUUCUGCUGGGCUUGUCAGAGAGAGUGGCCCCGCGAGGCUUCGAGCAAUGACUCCUGCAUGCUGCCAAACUGUGCGCUCCGUGCGGUGCUCCUCAGCACCAAAUGGAUAAAUGACCCUCAAAGCUCAGUGAGAGGAUGCCCGUACUUAAGGCCCUGUCCAAAAUGCAAGGCCCUACUCACUCAUAAGGGUGAUGGAUGCCCUAAUAUUGUUUGUCCCCAAUGCAAUGAAGAGUUCUGCUUCCGCUGCAUGCGCCCACAGUGCUACGACAAUGAUUAUUAUGACUCUGACUUUGAUGACAGUGAUUAUGACAUUGGGAUAGAGCAAUGUGUGAUUAAGAAUAACACUGAGAUUCUUCGACAGCUCGAACUGUAGUGGAACUGUGAAGCAGUCAAUCUUUAAAUUUUUGCUGAUGAGAUGACCCAUUUGGUAUAACUGACAAAAAGACUUUGGCAUUCUUUUGCAAAAGGAAGGUGAAUGCUUUCACUGGUAUUCCCCUUCAUGUUCAAGUUUAAAGGAAGUAAUUCAUUUUUUGAGCAGUGGAUAGAGGGUGUGUUUGUCUCCAUUAAGUAGGCUACUUGCUUUAAUUUUGUAUUUACCCAGCUUCUGUAGCAAGGGAGCUGAAGCAGCGAACAGGUUUCUUUGUCUGUGGAUGUGGUCCAGCAGGAUUUGAGACAUGAACGCUCCAAAGGUACACUGACCGUGUACUGAGCCCUUGUGAUGUCAGAGACACUUUAAGGCAAUUGUUCUGACAGAAUAAAGCUAUAGGCUUUAUUUAGCACACUUUGCCAAGAGUCUAGAAGAACCGGGUUAAAACGUUUAAGACUUAAGAGCUAGCCUACUGGUUUUAAUUUAAGGCACAAAAACUGACAAUUUAGGAGGCUGAACAACAUUAAUAAAUAUAAUUGGAGAGCAACCCUAUAUAGUCGUUGUUGCUUUACAUAUUACUUUCUUUGAAUAUAAAAUAUAAUUAUACUACAAGGACAGGAUCAUUUUAAAAUCCCCAUGAAAUAAUUUUUUCCAUUUAGUAUAAAUUAAAUAAAUAUUCUCUGCUUUAGUAGAUUUAGCUAAAAUAAAAUGAGUAAACCGUAUAAAAUGUUGAAUUCUUUUUUUUUUUGUUAAAACAACACAAAAAGUGUAUUAAUUUGAGUAUUUCUAAAUGAACACAUUAUUGAAUACAUUCAACUUAAUUUGAUCAUGUUUAAUCUACUUAAAUUUGUAAAAAGGAAAUGAUCUUAAUAUUUUGUGUUGAAGCUACAUGAAUGAUUUUGUAAGAAACAUAAGGCAGUGGACUUGAUGCUUCCAUCAUGCUUUGCAUGAAACUGCAUUUGGAGAGUAAAAUUUGAAAUUCUUAACUAAAAAGAAAGACUUGUUAGUGUUUAAUGUUCAUUUAUGUUUGAGAUUUAGAAGAGUUUUGUAGUUAGCAUUGUUCAGAAGAGUGGUGCUUAUAGACUGCACUUUUUAAAGUGACACUGGUUGACAUUGAAUAAA